rnacentral:rRNA from 1 species
CAAGGAAUUUUGCGCAAUGGGGGGAACCCUGACGCAGCAACGCCGCGUGGAGGACGAAGGCCUUCGGGUUGUAAACUCCUUUUCUCGGGGAAGAUGAUGACGGUACCUGAGGAAUAAGUCUCGGCUAACUACGUGCCAGCAGCCGCGGUAAUACGUAGGAGGCGAGCGUUGUCCGGAUUUACUGGGCGUAAAGAGCGCGUAGGCGGCUUAUUAAGUCUGAAGUGAAAUCUCCUGGCUCAACUGGGAGGGUGCUUUGGAUACUGAUAGGCUGGAGGGCAUCAGAGGAAAGCGGAACUCCCGGUGUAGUGGUGAAAUGCGUAGAUAUCGGGAAGAACACCAGUGGCGAAGGCGGCUUUCUGGGGUGUUACUGACGCUGAGGCGCGAAAGCGUGGGGAGCGAACCG